GCACAGAUUCUGUACCUUUAUGAUGGAUCAUAAAGAUUGUCAUGACAUUGGAAACUUUUCCUUUUCUCACAUACUCUGUCAUUUGCUGCAACAAUGAAAAUCUUACUUUGACUAUUAAUGCCUAUUCAUUCUUCUAAUACAUGGAGAAAAUGAAUAGCAUCGGUACUAGACAGGAAAUACAAUUCAGCUGCAGAAUUUUCUACAUGUCUCUGACUUACAGCUUGCUAAUUAAAGUGCUAUUAUUAGUUUAUUGUUUGACUUACUUAGACCUUAGAAAACAACUGAGGUUUUUUUGCAUGAUGAGAGAAUUGUGUGUAACCAGUGAUAUGAUAGUUCCUGAAUGUAUAAACAGAAUUCUGAACACUUUUUAAUUUAAAAGCUUAAAAUAGUUCCUGCUUUAAGGAAAUAUGAUAAUGUAUACUAUGACAAAUGUUCUUUAUUCUUCUAACACAAUAAGAUUUGGACUUUUUCCCCCUAAAAUGAAGUGCAGUUCCUGUGUAUCUUAGAUUACAUUUCUAGUCAAUUAUUUGUAUUUUAAUUUUUUGUUAGUACCUAAAGAAUCCAUUAUAUGAGCAGAUUUUUUAAGUAAUUUCUGUAUAUUGUAUAUUUGAAUUGGCUUUUAUUGAGCAGCUUAUCUUCCACUUGCAAGCUUAUGGAAAUAUCAAAUGUCAAAAUAAGUAAAAAGUGGGAGAAUUAUUUACUGUUAGAAGAAUGUUUUUAUUAGUUUGGAUGUCUUCUUUUUUAAUGGAAUCUAAUCAGUACUUCUGAACUGCAGGUAUAGUGCUCUAACUAAAACAUAAGCUAGUAGUCCCACUGAUCGAUAAACUAGACAGUGUUUAUCCCUACUUUUUGAAUUUAGAAUAUUGAGGUAUUCUCUGUUUAAACUUGUCUGGGGGUAUUUAAGCUUAUACAUAUAUGUGUACAUAUGUUCAUACACACAGAUCUCUGUUUUUGGUUUUCUCAUUUCAAGUUCUUAGGAAGUAUUCAUGUGCUCUUUAUUUGUAGAAAUAGCUGCUAUACAGUGAAGAACAGGUAGGAACUUUAACAACUGAUCCUUUGGUGUUUUCUACAAAUUAUUUGUUGAAACUUCAAUCACAGGCAAACUUGCAUUUCU
rnacentral:lncRNA from 1 species